rnacentral:rRNA from 1 species
CAGCCGCCGCGGUAAUACGAAGGGUGCAAGCGUUAAUCGGAAUUACUGGGCGUAAAGCGUGCGUAGGCGGUGAGUUGAGUCUGCUGUGAAAUCCCCGGGCUCAACCUGGGAAUGGCAAUGGAUACUGGCAAGCUAGAGUGUGUCAGAGGAUGGUGGAAUUCCCGGUGUAGCGGUGAAAUGCGUAGAGAUCGGGAGGAACAUCUGUGGCGAAGGCGACUAUCUGGGCCAACACUGACACUGAGGCACGAAAGCGUGGGGAGCAAACAGGAUUAGAUACCCGCGUAGUCCCUGUCUCUUAUAC